GAUGAACGCUGGCGGCGUGCCUAAUACAUGCAAGUAGAACGCUGAAGGAGGAGCUUGCUCUUCUGGAUGAGUUGCGAACGGGUGAGUAACGCGUAGGUAACCUGCCUGGUAGCGGGGGAUAACUAUUGGAAACGAUAGCUAAUACCGCAUGACAACAGUUAUUGCAUGAUAACUGUUUAAAAGGGGCAACUGCUCCACUACCAGAUGGACCUGCGUUGUAUUAGCUAGUUGGUGAGGUAACGGCUCACCAAGGCGACGAUACAUAGCCGACCUGAGAGGGUGAUCGGCCACACGGGGACUGAGACACGGCCCAGACUCCUGCGGGAGGCAGCAGUAGGGAAUCUUCGGCAAUGGACGGAAGUCUGACCGAGCAACGCCGCGUGAGUGAAGAAGGUUUUCGGAUCGUAAAGCUCUGUUGUAAGAGAAGAACGAGUGUGAGAGUGGAAAGUUCACACUGUGACGGUAUCGUACCAGAAAGGGACGGCUAACUACGU
rnacentral:rRNA from 1 species